ACCAGGCAGUUCGCUACAUAGCAAGCUGAAAAUAUAUUGAAGCGGGGACAAUGUGAUGUAACGUUAGCUAGAAGAAGGGCAUCUGAAAAUUCUCUGGUUGUGUUCUGAAAGUGUAUCUCCUGUGUAAUCGCAUAUCGAAGCCACAUCGGCGUACUCUUUGUUUUAGAAAAGUGUUUUGGUGUUAUAGUGUGAUAAGUUUCCUUUGCGUAGGUACUUUCAAUAGUACUACAUAAGGGUUUUUGGUUUCAAAAUAAAACUAUUGGUUUCAAAAUAAAAGUCCUGGUUCCAAAAUAAAAGUCCUAAAGUCUAAUUAGUGACAAAUUAUACUAGAACCAAAUAACUAAUAAUAGGGAUAGACCGAAACACAUCAAAGAAAUACUAAAAGUAUGGUUAAGGUAUAAAAAUGGGAAAAUAGUCAAAAAUUAGUGGAACCAGA